rfam:Rattus norvegicus chromosome 1, whole genome shotgun sequence.
GGGGAUUUAGCUCAGUGGUAGAGUGCUUGCCUAGGAAGCAAGGCCCUGGGUUCGGUCCCCAGCCCCCA